CGGGCUUCCUAGGGCAGCAGGCAGGCUCUGCCCACCUCCUCGUUCAGACAGGACUGUAAAUGCAGUGCGAGUGACCCACACAGGCUGGAGCCCAACACCAACCAGCAGUGCGGUGCCAAACAUCUGCUCACCAGCUUGCGCUGUUUAACUCUUCCCUUCAUCAGAUGGGUACAAGAGAAGUUACAACUUCCUUGUCCAAGUUGGUUUAACGUGCACGGAAGUUCAUUUUCUUCUUAGGAUUAUAAUGCUGGGAGGAAGAAAGCACCUGCGGCCUUCAGGCCACUGCUCUGCCCCAGCUCUCUGCUGAACCCACACCGGGGUAACUAGGUCCCCCUUAGUUAUACUGGAAACAUUGACUGUACUUGGCACUUUGAGGGGUCAGGGGCGCUUAUCGCAAAUGUAGAAAUAAGAAUUAAAUUUGGUAAUUUCCUGAUUAGCCCAUAGUGUGUUUCAUUUUGAAUGUAUAUUAUUGGCCUUGGCAAAGUUUUCUUCUCUUUCUGGAACUUCUGGAGCUACAAAGAUUAAGUUUAGUAAGUGCAGUGUUGUUUUGUUAGCGAGAAGCAGAGGAGGGGGACUUCUGUAGGCAAUCAACACUCCAUGUGGCUCUUGGCUUUAUUAGAGCAACUCUAACCCAUAACAGAAUUAAAGCCCAGGGACUGUGACUUUGUCUCUAUUCUUAGCAUCUUACACAUAGUAGGUGCUCAGCUCAUGCUUGUUCCAUUCAAUUAAACCCACAGGGUACAACAGAAGCAUGCCAAGUCAAAUUCUCAACUGGGAAGAAAUAUACUGAAUCUUAUAGCUGAACUCUUAACUGCAAUUACCUUUGGGAGGUUCAAAGUCCAGCUGGAAAGACCACAGAGCAGAGGGAGGUCUUCCUCCCCGACAACCCCCACCUUGUCAGUCAUGAGGAGGACGGAUGCUAUGGGCUGAUUCUAUUGGACGUGAAGAUUAGGAUCCUGACUGAUCCUCUUUUGCCUCCUUCUUCGUUUCUUCUUCCUCCUUCUUUGCCUUCUCUUCUUCCUCCUCUGCUCGUUCCUUUCUGCUUCACCUACUUCCUUUUCUUUCUCUCUCUUCUAUUUUUCUCCCACAUCUUUGUGGAAAUCAAAGUGUUUCCCAGACUCACUGCCCAGCUGCAGCGUCGCUUCAUAACACCCCCACGCCGUUUCCAGGGCCAAUGGUCUGUCCUCUCUGCCCAUUCAGGUAUGCUCCAAGGGGGCCUCUGAAAGCAUAGCAUGACCUGCACCCAGUUGCUGGAGUGUCAAGACAUUGGUUAAUAAAAAGUAGUUGGGAUCCCUGGGUGGCGCA
rnacentral:lncRNA from 1 species